rnacentral:rRNA from 1 species
GAUCAUGGCUCAGAUUGAACGCUGGCGGUAGGCUUAACACAUGCAAGUCGAGCGGAAACGAUUCUAGCUUGCUAGAAGGCGUCGAGCGGCGGACGGGUGAGUAAUGCGUGGGAAUCUACCCAGUAGUUGGGGAUAGCCCGGAGAAAUCCGGAUUAAUACCGAAUAAUCUCUACGGAGGAAAGUGGGCUUCGGCUCACGCUACAGGAUGAGCCUGCGUUGGAUUAGCUAGUUGGUGAGGUAAGAGCUCACCAAGGCGACGAUCCAUAGCUGGUCUGAGAGGAUGAUCAGCCACACUGGGACUGAGACACGGCCCAGACUCCUACGGGAGGCAGCAGUGGGGAAUAUUGGACAAUGGGGGCAACCCUGAUCCAGCCAUACCGCGUGUGUGAAGAAGGCCUUCGGGUUGUAAAGCACUUUCAGCGAGGAGGAAAGGUUGUUGGUUAAUACCCAUCAACUGUGACGUUACUCGCAGAAGAAGCACCG